GGUAACUCUCCCUCUCUCUUCUCCCCCGACCCCUUCCCCUUUCGGCCCGAACUGGUUUACCUCCGAUUUCUCCCUCCUCCGGCCGACCCACGACGGAAUCCAGCUACCCCCAGGCUCGUCUCCUCCCCCUUGACCCAUUGGCGGUGGUGUUUUGUGAAGAUUUGGCCGGAGAAGCUUGAUUUCGCGCCGGGAAGUGUGGAGGUCGAAUCGAUCGAACUCGAUCCUGGGGUUCUUGAAUUUUUCUGGAAAAUUUUCACCGGCUUAAUUGGAGCUCUUCCAGGACGAGAGGAGUCUCCAUACGAGAAAAAUACCGAGCGACGUCAGGAUUGAGCAUAUAUUUUUUCAGUGUUGCUGCUCGGCGUUCUGAAGUGAGCCAUAGUGACCGCAUCCGCUUCCGUCAUCAUAUUUUGUAGGUUAUUUAUUUAGUCUACUGUACUCUAUGUUAAACUUAUAUUCCUAGAAUGCUCUGAUUACUAAGGGAUAUGUGACCCAAACUUGUAUGAAUUAUAUUGAGCUUUGA
rnacentral:lncRNA from 1 species